UUUCUGCCCUAUCAACUUUCG
rnacentral:siRNA from 1 species